rnacentral:misc_RNA from 1 species
GAUUCCAUAGUUCAUGAAGUCCUAACACAUCAUUUGUUAUCAAUAAUAAUUCAACUUUAUAAAUUAUUUUUUCCAUUAUAUAAAAGUCAAAAUACUUUGGGGCAAAGUAUCUUGGUAAAAGUGAAAAGACAAAAUCUGUUGACAUUUAAUGAUUGAGAAAAUGGAGAUUGAAACGUUUGAGAUUAAGAGUGGUGAGAAAGUGCUGUUGUUAUGGAAAACAAUGCCCAAUGAUGAAUCCAUUUUUGACAACUACAUAAGUCGUAUCCACGAAAUAGUCUUUCCGGGUCGUGGUCUAGUAUAUUCUCAUAAUGUAGACGCCUUUGAACAAGUUCUUGAUAAAUUCCCUUGGAAAUUCGACGUAGUCCUCUCUGGAGUCAUUCGACCUUUUACAAUCAAUCAUGAGCUUGAAUUACUAUCCAAGAUUGUUGAAGUCUCUAAGCCUGCUUGUCGUUUCUACCUCACACAAUUUCACAAUCCAAGCUUCUCAUCUGCACUUAAACUGUGCGGCAUUCAUGAAAAAAGUGUAUCUCCUUUAGGAACCGAAAUUCUUACGACUGAAGCUAUCAAGGAGAUAAAUGAUACAUAUGGAACAGGUCCAGUCCAAGUUAAUUUUCAUUCAUGUCUGUUCCCAUCUUUUGAGACGGGAUCAAUAACAGCAACACGGUCUAUAGCUUCUAAAAAGCCGCAACCUGUUGGAAAUGUUUGGAGUCUUCCUGAUGACGAUUUAAAUGACGUUGACAAUAUCGAUUCAGAAGACCUACUUGACCCUGAAGAUCUUAAGAAACCUGAAGCCUCUGAACUUCGUGUUUGUGGUACUACUGGCAAAAGAAAAGCUUGCAAGGACUGUUCGUGUGGUCUGAGAGAAGAGCUAGAUGCUGGGAAGGAACCAGGAACAAAAGACGUUAAUUCUUCAUGUGGUAGUUGUUAUUUGGGGGAUGCCUUCCGAUGUGCCAGUUGUCCUUACUUGGGAAUGCCUGCUUUUAAGCCUGGCGAAAAAGUAUCCCUAACAGAUAAAGAGCUAAAAGCGGAUGAAUGAAGAAAACAUUUUAUUUAUGUCAUUAAACAUAAAUUUCUAUUUACUGUCAAUUAAGGCUAUCGAACAAAUAUAUGGAAUUAUUUUAUUUAGAAAUACAACAUAAAGAAAUUAAUAAUAAAAAAAAAUAUAUAGUACGGUUAUAAUUUCAUUCACAUCCUUGGUACACAUGCUCAAACAUAAUGUUUAACGUGUUGAUCACUGGUGGAUCAGCUACAUUGGGGUAUCCAUCGCGAAAAUAUUCAUGAACUAAAACUUAGGCGCGUAUAUGUAUAUGAUAUUAGCUUCAAAAAUUAUAAUGAGAGUGAUGUAUCCUUAAAUGGUUCAGUAACUUACUUCCUAUCUUGUACAGUACAAUUUCAAUGUUUUUUCGUUGUGAAGACUAUGGAAUGUGCAAAAAAUCCAAUCUUCCAAGAGAUCAAUAUUUGAAUUUUGACGUUAAUACAAAUUGACCAAAGGUGGUGGCCAAUUCCGCUCAUCAUUCCAGUUCAAUCAAAAUAUUAGUCUACACAAAUACAGUUAAUGUGUCUUUCGAUGGAAAUCCUGUGGAAGAGGGGACCAAAGACGAUCCUUUUCCUUUAAAGUUUAUUAAUUACUACUCUGAAAAUAAAUUUGAAGCUAAAAAAAUAAUAUAAAAUACUCCUAAUUUGAAAA